rnacentral:rRNA from 1 species
UACGAAGGGUGCAAGCGUUAUUCGGAAUUACUGGGCGUAAAGCGUGCGUAGGCGGUGAGUUAAGUCUGUCGUGAAAUCCCCGGGCUCAACUUGGGAAUGGCGAUGGAUACUGGCUCGCUAGAGUGCGGUAGAGGAGAGUGGAAUUCCCGGUGUAGCGGUGAAAUGCGUAGAGAUCGGGAGGAACAUCAGUUGCGAAGGCGGCUCUCUGGACCAGCACUGACGCUGAGGCACGAAAGCGUGGGGAGCAAACAGG